rnacentral:rRNA from 1 species
AGCAGUCGCCGCGGUAAAACGUAGGUGGCAAGCGUUGUCCGGAAUUAUUGGGCGUAAAGGGCUCGCAGGCGGUUUCUUAAGUCUGAUGUGAAAGCCCCUGGCUCAACCGGGGAGGGUCAUUGGAAACUGGGAAACUUGAGUGCAGAAGAGGAGAGUGGAAUUCCACGUGUAGCGGUGAAAUGCGUAGAGAUGUGGAGGAACACCAGUGGCGAAGGCGACUCUCUGUUCUGUAACUGACGCGGAGGAGCGAAAGCGUGGGGAGCGAACAGGAUUAGAUACCCCAGUAGUCCCUGUCUCUUAUAA